GAAAUUGCUUUGAUAAAGGAAACUAGAACAUGACUGAAGAAAGAAGAGUUCACCCAGAUUGUCGGAAUGCAUCCAACCCUUAUCAUGAAUGCACCGAAUAUUGCUUUAAAAUAAUAGCGGAAGUAAAGAAGCAAAUGAGCAAAGCUGAAACAGGUGUAUUGCAAGCUAAUACUGUUGAUGUUCAUCCCCACUCGGUUGCGAGUUCUAAUGGGGGUGAAGAUGCACCUGAUGAAAGGGAUGGUGCUGAAAGGCACAACGAUGAAGAUGAUCAAGCUGAUGUAGAGGGUAAUAUGGUAGGAGACUCCGCGAAUCUCACAGGGAGGAAGAAAAAGUUAUUUGAAUUAAGAUUAAAAAUGAAUGAGGCAAGAAAAGCUAAUCAAACUGCAAUGGUAACAGAGAAGAAAAAAACAGAAGCUCCAGCAGAGUCUAGGGGAAUGUCCAAGCAAAAAUGGAUUGAGGAAAGGAAGAAGAAAAUUGGGAAGUUAUUAGAUGCCAAUGGAUUAGAUAUGAGUAAGGCAUAUAUGCUAGAUACACAAGAGUCUGCAGAGGCAAAGUAUAAGAAGUGGGAGAAGGAGCCUGCUCCAGCUGGUUGGGAUGUUUUUAAUCAGAGAACACUAUACAAUGCAUACAAGAAGCGGACAAAGAAUGUUGCUGUUGAUGUCGACGAUUACAAUAAAAUGAAGGAAGCUGACCCAGAAUUUUAUCGAGAAGCUUCAAGUCUCCAGUAUGGGAAGGCACCAAAAUUAUCAGACGACAAGAUAGAGAGGAUGGUGAAGGAGCUCAAGGACAGGGAUGAGAAGCGCCAAUCAUUUAGUCGGAGGAGGAAGUUCCAUGAAGAGAAAGACAUUGACUCCAUUAAUGAUCGUAACGAGCACUUCAAUAAAAAGAUCGAACGUGCCUUUGGAAAAUACACCUUGGAGAUCAAGAAUAACCUUGAGAGAGGAACUGCUUUGCCUGAUUGAGGUAGGUGAACUUAUUGGAGUAUUGUAGAUGCAGUGCACUUGUCACGUCAAUUGUUGUGCAGUAUAAGUACUUAAAUUUGCUUGGAGGGUCAGGUUGCAUAGAGUACUUUUCUAAUGGCUUGGCCUCAAUCUGCAGAAAGUUUUCUCCCGUGAAUGGUUGCUGGUGUCACCCGUGACCCGUUUGCAAGGCAUUUUGCGAAAUCCUAUCUGGGUAGUUAGGAGCCGUUUGGCCAUAAAAAGUAUUCACUUUUUUCGGAAUAAUCUUUCAAUUUAUUUGAAAAUCAGUGUCUGGCUAUGAAAAUUCCAAAUUCAACGUGAAGUUGUAUUUCAAAUUUGGAAAACAACUUAUAACAUGUUUUCCAACUCACUUUUCACUUUUGAAGUUGUAUUUAUGUAUAUUCAAGCAGGAACAUUAUUCCAA